GGAGAAAUUAAAGAAGAUGCCUCUUUGUUUCUGUAUCAAUAACAAAAAUGCCAGCGAUGACACACCCUGAGGGUUCAUCCAGUUAAUCUAGUUUUUAAGACAUACUUCAACUGUUUUAUAUUUAUUACCAUACAUGGUGAAAAAUGACUCCUGCCAUUGUAUGAUUGGCUGUAUGUGAGCAAGAGAGAAAGUAUAAAUACAAAGGGAAAAAGGUUUUCCAGAGCAGUCUUUUGCCUUGGACAGACAUUCACACCAGCUGACACCGACCUUACACAUCACCUGAACUGACACAGAUUCGGAAGCAGCUGUAGGACCGGAGUAGGAACCAUCCCAGUGAGAAAACCAGAGCAUCACAACAAGAAGAGAAAUACAAGAUGACUGCUCCAAUAAUUCCAUACACUACAGACAUGACACGUUACGAUAGAGGAAAACUCAGAGACCAAACUGUGAAAUCUCACCCAGAUGUUCUUUAUAGGGACAGAAAGGAAAAUAUUACAAAAGAAAACCUCAUUUUCCAUACUGAAAAUAUUGGGGCAUGGAAAGAAGCAAUACGGCGUAAAUAUCAACAAAUCAAAGAAGUUCCUACAAAGACAGUCAAAUUUGAACUCCCUGGUGACGGGGGAUUUGUAACCAUACACUCUUCUGGAAAGGUUGUGAUAGAUGGUUCAAAAGAAAAACUAGAUGCAUUUGAAAAAGUCUUUGAAGAUCUCCGCAUCGAGGUGAAUACUGAGGACAUAAUAAUACAAACAGAACAAAUAAACCUGAUCGAAUCUGAUCCUGACGGUGAAGGACAUCCUGGUGAGGCAGGGAUUGACAGUACCGAAAAUAGAAAUAGGGAGGAAUAACAAAGCCUGGACUGUCUGUUUAUUAAGUUCAAACAGACUGGAAAAAAAAAAAAAAAAAAAAAAUGGAUCAUUAUACAUUAAAUAACUUCCAAUUAAAGUUUUUCUGAUCAUUUUAUGUCAUGAAUAGGUGACUGGGUUGUAAAAUCAGUUACAUAUUUUUGUUUUUUGUUUUGAUUUGCCUGUUAUGUACUGUAGUCUAUAUCUUCAACAAUUUCUGGUUCUUGUGUUUACUUAUUGUUUUUAAAUGGUGUAAGAGGAGUUAAACAUGAAAUAUCAAAUGUAAAAGGAAUUAUAAUGAUGAUGUAUCUUCUGUCUGUGUCUUACAACACUGGCUCACUAUAGUCUGUCUGCGAGUUACAGAGGAAUUACACAGCAGUCUUGU